AUUGAACGCUGGCGGCAUGCCUUACACAUGCAAGUCGAACGGCAGCACGGGAGCAAUCCUGGUGGCGAGUGGCGAACGGGUGAGUAAUAUAUCGGAACGUGCCCAGUCGUGGGGGAUAACGCAGCGAAAGCUGUGCUAAUACCGCAUACGAUCUAUGGAUGAAAGCGGGGGAUCGCAAGACCUCGCGCGAUUGGAGCGGCCGAUAUCAGAUUAGCUAGUUGGUGGGGUAAAGGCCCACCAAGGCGACGAUCUGUAGCUGGUCUGAGAGGACGACCAGCCACGCUGGAACUGGGACACGGUCCAGACUCCUACGGGAGGCAGCAGUGGGGAAUUUUGGACAAUGGGCGCAAGCCUGAUCCAGCAAUGCCGCGUGCAGGAUGAAGGCCUUCGGGUUGUAAACUGCUUUUGUACGGAACGAAACGGUCCUUUCUAAUACAGGGGGCUAAUGACGGUACCGUAAGAAUAAGCACCGGCUAACUACGUGCCAGCAGCCGCCGCCGUAA
rnacentral:rRNA from 1 species